AACGCACCUUGCGCUCCUUGGUAUUCCGAGGAGCAUGCCUGUUUGAGUGUCAUUAAAUUCUCAACUCUCUUAUACUAUUUUGUAAAGGAGAGCUUGGAUUGUGGAGGCGUGCUGGCCGCUCGUUUGAGGUCAGCUCCUCUGAAAUGCAUUAGCGGAACCGUUUGCGAUCUGCCACAAGUGUGAUAAAUUAUCUACACUGGCGAGGGGAUUGCUCUGCGUGUUGUUCAGCUUCCAAUUGUCUCUACUUUGUAGGACUACUUUUUGAAUACUUGACCUCAAAUCAGGUAGGACUACCCGCUGAACUUAA
rnacentral:misc_RNA from 1 species